rnacentral:rRNA from 1 species
AGCGCACACGGUGGAUGCCUAGGCGGUCAGAGGCGAUGAAGGACGUGGUAGCCUGCGAAAAGUGUCGGGGAGCUGGCAACAAGCUUUGAUCCGGCAAUAUCCGAAUGGGGAAACCCACUGCUUCGGCAGUAUCUUGCAGUGAAUUCAUAGCUGCUUGAAGCGAACCCGGUGAACUGAAAUAUCUAAGUAACCGGAGGAAAAGAAAUCAACCGAGAUUCCCUGAGUAGUGACGAGCGAACGGGGAACAGCCCUUAAGCUGGAAUGGCUUUAGAAAAACAAUCUGGAAAGAUUGGCCAUAGAAGGUGAUAGCCCUGUAUUUAAAAGGGCCACUCCAGUGAAGACGAGUAGGGCGGGGCACGUGAAACCCUGUCUGAAUAUGGGGGGACCAUCCUCCAAGGCUAAAUACUCCUGACCGACCGAUAGUGAACCAGUACCGUGAGGGAAAGGCGAAAAGAACCCCGGAGAGGGGAGUGAAAUAGAUCCUGAAACCGUGUGCGUACAAGCAGUAGGAGCUCGCAAGAGUGACUGCGUACCUUUUGUAUAAUGGGUCAGCGACUUACUGUUCGUGGCAAGCUUAACCGUAUAGGGGAGGCGAAGGGAAACCGAGUCUGAUAAGGGCGCAUAGUCGCGGGCAGUAGACCCGAAACCGGGUGAUCUAGUCAUGGCCAGGGUGAAGGUGCCGUAACAGGUACUGGAGGCCCGAACCCACGUCUGUUGCAAAAGACGGGGAUGAGCUGUGAUUAGGAGUGAAAAGCUAAUCGAACCCGGAGAUAGCUGGUUCUCCUCGAAAGCUAUUUAGGUAGCGCCUCGGACGAAUACUACUGGGGGUAGAGCACUGUUAUGGCUAGGGGGUCAUCGCGACUUACCAAACCAUUGCAAACUCCGAAUACCAGUACGUACUAUCCGGGAGACACACGGCGGGUGCUAACGUCCGUCGUGAAAAGGGAAACAACCCAGACCCACAGCUAAGGUCCCAAAUUCACUGCUAAGUGGAAAACGAUGUGGAAAGGCAUAGACAGCCAGGAGGUUGGCUUAGAAGCAGCCACCCUUUAAAGAAAGCGUAAUAGCUCACUGGUCGAGUCGGUCUGCGCGGAAGAUUUAACGGGGCUAAGCAGUGAACCGAAGCUUGGGGUGCGUAAAACUUCGGUUUUAUGCGCGGUAGAGGAGCGUUCCGUAAGCCUGCGAAGGUGGAUUGAGAAGUCUGCUGGAGGUAUCGGAAGUGCGAAUGCUGACAUGAGUAACGAUAAUGCGGGUGAAAAGCCCGCACGCCGAAAGCCCAAGGUUUCCUUGCGCAACGUUAAUCGACGCAGGGUUAGUCGGUCCCUAAGGCGAGGGCGAAAGCCGUAGUCGAUGGGAAGCAGGUUAAUAUUCCUGCACCUCGCGUGAGUGCGAUGGAGGGACGGAGAAGGUUAGGUGUACCGGGCGUUGGUUGUCCCGGGGAAAGGCGGUAGGUUUGGAUCUUUGGCAAAUCCGGGAUCCUUUAAGACCGAGCACCGAGACGAGCCUUUAUGGCGAAGUCACUGAUACCACGCUUCCAGGAAAAGCUCCUAAGCUUCAGCUCACGAAGACCGUACCGUAAACCGACACAGGUGGGUAGGAUGAGAAUUCUCAGGCGCUUGAGAGAACUCGGGUGAAGGAACUAGGCAACAUGGCACCGUAACUUCGGGAGAAGGUGCACCCUUUUUGGUGGCUCAUGCGAGCUAUAGCUGAAGAGGGUCGCAGAAACCAGGCCGCUGCGACUGUUUAUCAAAAACACAGCACUCUGCAAACACGAAAGUGGACGUAUAGGGUGUGACGCCUGCCCGGUGCUGGAAGGUUAAUUGAUGGGGUCAGCCGCAAGGCGAAGCUCUUGAUCGAAGCCCCAGUAAACGGCGGCCGUAACUAUAACGGUCCUAAGGUAGCGAAAUUCCUUGUCGGGUAAGUUCCGACCUGCACGAAUGGCGUAACGACAGCGGCGCUGUCUCCACCCGAGACUCAGUGAAAUUGAAAUCGCUGUGAAGAUGCAGCGUUCCCGUGGCAAGACGGAAAGACCCCGUGAACCUUUACUAUAGCUUUACACUGAACGUUGAGUUCGUCUGUGUAGGAUAGGUGGGAGGCUAUGAAACUGUGGCGCUAGCUGCAGUGGAGCCAACCUUGAAAUACCACCCUGUCGUGCUUGACGUUCUAACCUAGAUCCGUUAUCCGGAUCAGGGACCGUGUAUGGUGGGUAGUUUGACUGGGGCGGUCUCCUCCUAAAGAGUAACGGAGGAGCACGAAGGUACGCUCAGCGCGGUCGGACAUCGCGCACUGUGUGCAAAGGCAUAAGCGUGCUUGACUGCAAGAUCGACGGAUCAAGCAGGUACGAAAGUAGGUCUUAGUGAUCCGGUGGUUCUGUAUGGAAGGGCCAUCGCUCAACGGAUAAAAGGUACUCCGGGGAUAACAGGCUGAUACCGCCCAAGAGUUCAUAUCGACGGCGGUGUUUGGCACCUCGAUGUCGGCUCAUCACAUCCUGGGGCUGUAGUCGGUCCCAAGGGUAUGGCUGUUCGCCAUUUAAAGUGGUACGCGAGCUGGGUUCAGAACGUCGUGAGACAGUUCGGUCCCUAUCUGCCAUGGGCGUUGGAAGUUUGAGAGGGGCUGCUCCUAGUACGAGAGGACCGGAGUGGACGAACCUCUGGUGUUCCGGUUGUCACGCCAGUGGCAUUGCCGGGUAGCUAUGUUCGGAAGCGAUAACCGCUGAAAGCAUCUAAGCGGGAAGCGCGCCUCAAGAUGAGACUUCCCGGGGCACAAGCCCCCUAAAGGAACCAUAUAGACUAUGUGGUUGA